rnacentral:misc_RNA from 1 species
GUCUUAACAAACAAGUAAUUUAAUUAAGAAUAUUUCAGAUUAAGAAUGUCGAGAUGUUACAAGACAACGAUAACGGAUCUUCAGGGUUUACAAGCUGUAACUGAUGAUAAACGAGUAUUAAAACAAAUAUUGAUUGAUGUUCUCAACCUGAGGACUGGAAUGGAAGAUAACCUACUUCUAAUACAGAAUGUCUAUCACACUGUAAAAAAUAUCAAGUCCGUGAGCACAGAUUUGAUGAAUGCAAUAUCCGUAGUUCAGCAACAUAUUGAUUCUAUGAAUAGAGUGUGUACACUGGGAGUAUCCUGGCUCAAAUAUGAUGUGGAUUUUUCUCUUAAUUACAUCACAGACGCUCAAAAUGAAAGAGACGACCCGAAACCGAAAGAGAAUCCUGAAUGUGAGAUUAAGAUUGAAAUACCAGAUUGGAAGAACGCAGUUAUCAUUGAUCACAAAAAUGAUAUGAAUAUCACAGGCUGCGUGGAAAACUCGGAAACCGAACAUGUAGACUCACUAGUUGUCAACAUCAUGGAAACUCAAGUUUAUCCAGCCACCGACGAUGUAAAACGAGUAGAUGUAAAGGAAGCUGUCUGUGUAGAACCUGGAGUUAAAAACUGCGUUAAAUCUAUAGACAAACUGAUUCCCAAAAUGAAAACGAGUAAACGCGUAAAAAAAGAAAUGGUAUUAAAACAGGAAACUCAGAGUUCUGAAUCAAAUGAAGGAUCUGAUAAAAAUGACGUUUUUAGAUUUCCAUGCAAUUUGUGUGAUUAUAGAACAAAUCGUAAGAACACCUUAAAGAGGCAUACAUCAAGUGUUCAUUUAAAAAUUCGAUAUAAUUGUGAUGAAUGCAACAAAACCUUUUCCCAACCCAAGAGUUUAGAAAGACACAAACUGAAUAUUCACCAGGGAGAAAGGGUGUAUUGUGAAGAAUGUAGCUUUUCUACUCCCCGGGUGGAACUAUUGAAGCUUCACCAAAACAGUGUUCAUAAAGAUAUCAAGUUUGUUUGUACUUCAUGUGAUUUUAUCGGACUUACAGAACGCCAGUUUAUUAUACACAAGGUGUUGAGGCACAACGAGACGGAUAUAGCUGAAAAUCAGACUAGUUUCCCCUGUGAUAAAUGUGAUUAUGUGGCGGGUUCAAUAUCGUAUCUAAAGAUACACGUGAGAAAGCACAACAAUGGUGACGAUGAAUCUUUAAUAUGUGAUCAGUGUGAAUACGUGGCUCCUAGAAAGUUAAACUUGAAAUUGCACAUGGAGAACAAGCAUAGCAGUGUUUUGUACACUUGUGAUCAAUGUGAAUACAAAUGUUACAGUAAAGUAACAUUUAAGCUGCAUAAAAAAAAGCACGAAGGUAGAUUUUUAUGCGAUCAAUGCCCCUUCAUUGGAACAUUAAAGUCUCACUUAAAAAACCAUAUGAAAAUUAAACAUGACGGAUUUAGAGUUCCUUGUGAUUCUUGCAAGUUUAUGGCUCAAACUCAGCAGCAUUUAAAAAGACAUAAAGAAGCUGUUCACAUUGGGGUUAAAUACCCCUGUGAUCUUUGCUCAUUUUCAUUUUCAAACAAAUCAAAUCUAAAAGAGCACAAAGCCUGCAAGCAUGAUGAUACUAAACAUCCUUGUGAAGAGUGUGAUUAUUUGGCCUCGUCGCAAAUAGCUCUGAGAAAGCACAUGAAAACUAAGCACCCCUGUGCAACACAACUGCAGUAAGUUUUAUAUGUCUUGAGCGCUCGGUUUUAAUUUAAAGGGACUGUAAAGGAAAACUGAAAGGGGCCCCUUUAAGUGCCACGAAUGACUUCCCCGAAAAACUUGUUAGCAUGAAAUUUAAUGAAUCUUGUACAAGACUUUUA